CCUUCCCUUCCCCUUCUUUCUUUCUUUCUUUGGAUUUGGUUAUCGGAGACACACACAAAGGAUCUGCCAGUCAUCACCACAAAGGUUAACUUUACUAUCUUCUUGAGGUGCUCCUCUUAAGUGCACCUCAAAAUGUUAUCUUUUAUUCACAAAGCCCCAAGUCUCUUUCAGACGCACUUUAAGGGUAAAAUGAACACAGUGUGGACACUCUACAGAGGUUCUAAUCAGGGGUGUAGCUAUAUUUGACCCCUGCCAACUGAUCAAAGAGACAUCUUUUAAAAUGGUGAUUCUCUUAUAUUUAGCAGGGGGAGAGCAACUGGCUCAAUCCAACUCCAGCACAGCAUCCCUCCGGUGACUGUUGCUGGUAUCUGCCUUAUUUUUAGAUUGUGAGCCCUUUGAGGACAGGGGACCAUCUUAUUUAUGUGUUAUUUUUCUAUGUAAACUGCUUUGAGAACUUUGGUUGAAGGAGCGGUAUAUAAAUAUUUGUUAUUGCUGUUGAGUGGAUGGGUUCAAAGAACCUGACCCCCCAGCUCCUGAGGGCCCCCUAGCUCCACCUCUCCCUAUUUUCUUCAUUAUCUCCCCCACUCUGAGGGGCCUCCAGGGAGAAGGACGAACACGGUCCCCUCUUCCCUAGCUAUGCCCCUGGUUCCAAUGAACACAUGGUUGGAGUUGGAGCCUGCUGAUUCAAUGCCUUUUCUCCAUGCAUGUUCAUUUACCACUAAGAAAUGUCUGGAAAGGGAUAUGUUUAUGUGUUUAUGACAUGAAUAGGAUGAGGGGGAGUGGGUGAGAUUGUUCCUACUGGCCCCUCAGCUGACCUCCAAAGAUUUAUCCAAGCCUUUGAAUACAAGUUGUGUAGGUGUAGGCUCUGUUCACAGGGUAAUACAUGGAGGCUGGGGCUGGAGUCAGCAGGCGGGAUUCUGUUCCAUGCUCAUGUUCAUUUCUGCUCAGAUGAAUACAGAGUUUUGCUUUCCAGUACUGGAACUCAUCAAACAAUAAGUAGUUAGAUGACUGCAGGACUGUCUUGGGCUGCAUCUGGUGUGCACUUUUCUGGGAUUAGUCUCCAUUGAAUAUAGCAGGACUUACUCCUGAGCAAAUCUGAAUAGGAUUGCAUUACUAAGCUAUUUUGUAGCCCUUGUUGAAUAUUAAUUUUGCUUCCCACCCCAAACCCCCAAUAUCUUGUAUACAUAAGCAGGCAAUUGUUUCCUGCUCAAGGGGACAACGGGCAGGGAAGGAAUUGUACAACUUUAAAGAUUUUGUAUUAAAACUCUUUCUUUCCUCCACAAGGGGAUGGAUACUUAGUUCUCUGCUACAGAGUGAGGGACAAGGGGCUGCAGCCAGGAAAACUACAGAGCACAAUUGCUCCCACUUUGAGCCAGCUGGCUCCCAUUGCUCCUUUGGGACAACUCAGAAAGUGUUGUCUCAGUGGUUUGAGGAAGGGAGAGAACUGUGCUCCCCUUUUAGGAUGUUCCCAUUUAGACUAGAUAGGAGGAAUUCCAGGAGCAGAGCUGGUCUUGUGGUAGCAAGCAUGACUUGCCUCUUAGCUAAGCAGGGUCCACCCUGCUUGCAUACGAACGGGAGACUUGAUGUGUAAGCACUGUCAGAUAUUCCCCUUAAGGGAUGGAGCCACUCUGGGAAGAACACCUGACUGUUCCAAGUCACCUCCCUGGCAUCUCCCAGAUAGGGCUGAGAGAGGCUCCUUCCUGAAGCCUUGGAGAAGCUGGCCCGUGUAGACAAUACUGAGCUAGAAAGACCAAAGGUUUCUCAGAAUAUGGCAGCUUCCUAUGUGACUAUGUGAAUCUAGCAGCCCCAGGCAGCUGCUGCCUGUACUCAUGGGGUUGGCUGCCCCUGAGAGUUUUGCUGAUUUCAACAGCCAGUCUGUUCUUCAAUCUUUUUCUUGGGGUAAAUUAUGCUAAGAGCAUUUGUUAAUGCAGAGAUGCAGAUUAACUGAUGAUUUACCCUUUUCCUAGUCCAAAAGACCAAUUUUAGCUGAAAUCAAAGAUUGUAGGAUACAAAUUUCAUAUGUAAGUAGAACUGACCAGUUACGGAUAGAGAGAAACAUGAAAUAAAAGGCAUUUUUUUGCUGUUUAACAACAAAACAUGGAACAUUGCUGAAAAAUAAAAAAAGUAAAAUAAGAGCAUGACCUUUAAAAUAUGGGUUGUCUAGCAGCCUUACUGUAGCGUAGUAUUAAUCAUGACAGAAUCACCAUCUUGAUAAUACAUUUCAAAAUUACAUGAUAAAAAAUAGACUCCUGUCAUAUCUUAGCCAUGAAAACGUUUGCUUGGAAACCAAUCACAUUAAUUUCAGUGAGACUUGCCUCUAGCAACUAUGAUUUGAGAGGCAGUAAGCCAGCAAUUCAUCUACUGUUAUAAAAAUAAAUGGAUUUUGCAAGAAUCUACAAAUCUAGAGUUUAGUAAUACACUUGAAUAUCUACAGAAGUAUAUGCAGAACAUUCCUGCUUUAACUCAUACCUGGAUGAAAAAUCCUCCAAAUCAACAGAAGAAGAGGGAACUGUUUGAGCCAUGCAUUCAAUGUAUACAUUCAUUUUAUGUUUGUUUUUUAAAAAAGUGUGGAUUAGUACAGGUUGCGGUGGUGUUUGUUUUGACCGAAUGCUACUCAGGGGUUUGAGGAUACUGAAAUACGUACAACAGCUACCUGUGGCUUCGUCAGAAAGUUGGUCCUACUGUUAGUUAUAAUAAUUCUGUUAUAACUAUUAGUACAAAUAUUUAUAUACUGUUUUUCAACAAAGUUCACAAAGUGGUUUACUAAAGAUUGUGGUUGACAAGAUGACAAAAAUUACUCAAAGUAGUCCCAUUGAAAUUAAAAGGACUUGUCCUUUUAAUGUAAAUGGGAAAUUAACUUGUCCUUUUAAUAUCAAUGGGACUACUUUGAGUAAUUUCCCUCAUCCUAUCAACCUGUGUGUUUAUUUGGUUUAAUUUUUUUUUUAAAAAAAAAUCCAUUUAAAGUGGUUUAAUUGAGAUUGUGUGUUUUCAAGCAUGAAAUAAGUAUCAGAAUUCAUAAUAUACGGUGCUUUGUUUUUUUGGUCCAUUGCCUUGGACUUUAGGCUCAGUGAUGAGGAACAUGAGGAUAGAGAUGAUCUGGUUGACAUAGGAUACUUGGACUUCCAGAAAGCUUUUGACAAAGUUCUUUAUCAAAGGCUCUUGAGUUGAGUUAGCAGUCAUGGGAUAAGGGCAAGGGCAGAGCCACCAUUGAGCAUACAGGUGUGAAGAACCCAGGCAAAUGCUAAUCAGGGGCUGCACCUGGCGCUCCAACCACACCCUCUGACAUCAGACGCAGGGGGUAUAGCUUUGCUUGCAAAUGGGGCCAUGUGGCCCCAUUUGCAGGCAAAAUCCCCAACCAGUGCCAUGUUCACGGCGCAGCCAGAGUGGCUCUCCCUGUCUAAAAAGCACUGGCCAGGGACUGUGCUUGCAAACAGGGCCGCACAGUCCUGUUUUGCAAACACUGUGUUCACAGCGUGGCCAGGAGCGACUCUCCUUGCCUUUUACAUCAGAUGCAGGGGGCAUGGCUUAGCAUCUGCCAUCAGACACAGGGUGAGGGGCUGGGGGCACCGGCAGCAGGCUGGACACAGGCCAACAUUGGCCUCCCUCCACCUCUGGAUAAGGGGACAGGUUCAUAUGUGGAUUGGUAACUAGCUGAAGGACAGGAAACAGAGUAGGAAUAAAUUGACAGUUUUCAUAAUAGAGGGAAGUAAGAUGUGGCAUCCCGCAGGGAUCUGUACUGAAACCAGUGCUCUUUAAUUUGUUCAUAAAUUGGGGUGACCAGCGAAGUGACCAAAUUUGCAGAUGACACUAAACUAUCAGGGGUAGUGAAAUCCAAAACAGAUUGUGAGGAGCUCCAAAAGGAUCUCUUCUUUUGUGGGAGACAGUGGGCGACAGAAUAGCAAAUGUUGUCCAGUGCAAGCAAGUGUAAAGUGAUGCAUAUUGGGGCAAAAAAACCACCCAGCAUCACCUAUACACUGAUGGGGUCUGAGCUGUGAGUGACUGACCAGGAGAGAGAUCUUGGGGUCAUGGUGGACAGCUCAUUGAAAGUGUAGAUUCUGUGAAUGGUAACUGUGAAAAAGGCAAAUUCCAUGCUAGAGAUCAUUAGGAAGGGGAUUGAAAAUAAAAAUACUAAUAUUUUAAUGCCCUUAUAUAAACCGUUGAUGCAGCCACAUUUGGAGUACUGUGUGUAGUUCUGGCCACUGUAUCUUAAGAAGGACUUGGUAGAACUGGAAAAGGUGCAGAAGAGAGCAACCAAGAUGAUCAAGGGCCUGGAGCACCUUCUUCAUGAGGGAAGGCUACAGCAUCUGGGGCUUUUUAGUUUGGAAAAGAGGCGACUAUGGGAAGACAUGAUAGAAUGUCUAUAAAGUUAUGCAUGAAGUAGAGAGGGAGUCAAUAGAGAUAAAUUAGGAUUGAAAUGUCCUUUAAAUUGCCCCUUUGGGCAACUGGUAAAUUUGCAGAUUCUCCCCCAUCUAACCUUUGCCUUUUGAAGAAAAAAAAGUAAUAUAAGUUGCAGACCAAGAAAAUUGAUAGUAUGAAAAAUUUAAUGCUCACUAGCCACUUAAUGGCACAGCGGGGAAAUGACUUGCCUAGCGAGCAAGAGUUUGCUGGUUCAAAUACCUGCUGGCAUGUUUCCCAGAAUAUGGGAAACACCUAUAUUGGGCAGCAGCGAUAUAGGAAGGUUCUGGAAAGGCAUCAUCUCACACUGAGUGAGAGGCGGCAAUAGUAAACCCCUCUUGUAUUCUACCAAAGAAAACCACAUGGCCCUGAGGUCACUAGGAGUCAACACCGAUUUGAGGGCACAACUUUACCUUUACCUUUAGAUAUCAAAAGCAAAAAAGUUAAGUCAGUUAAAUUAAAGUAAGAGCAGAAACAUUGACUGACUAAUCCUACAGUAAAUGUUCGCAUUUGGUCAGUGGCUGAGCUAAUAUAGGGUAGACGGCUCCAGAAAUUGUGUCCCCUGCCUGCGAGGCUGCCUCGCCCUGCCGCAGGGGCCAUCCCACUCCCCUCCCCUGCCCAGCUAACAGCCAGCUCUCCACCGCGGUGUGCCACACUGCCCAUCCCAAGCAGCACGCAGUGCUCCUAGGCACUCGGGCCUUUUUAAACAGUCACUGCAUCUUUUUAAACAGUAGGAGUUUAAUGAUGUAUUAUUGACACUAUAUAUCACUAAGCGACAUGUACAGAGCCAUUUUGCCCUUUUGAUGGGUUUUGAUGGUCCUGAGGUGGCUGGAAAACAAGGGUGUGUGUGUGAGCGCACUUCAUUCCCAGCUGCCUUGGAGUCAGAGCUGGCUAGAAUGCAGGUGAUAGGAGUAUGCCUCUGCCACUGCUGGGGGCAAGGAGGCUGCCCCUGCCUCUGUCAUUGCUUCCAGGGAAGUCUGCUACUGGGAUAGAGAGCAGUGUUUCCUGUAAGAGGAAUUCCCAGAUGUUGAUGGCUACAACUCUCAUGAUCCUUGGCCAAAAGCCAUUGCAGCUGGGGAUGCUGGGAGUUGUAGUCAACAACAUCUGGGAAUCCCUCUUACAGGAAACACUGAUAGAGAGCCUGCCACCAUCACCACGGGAGGGCUGCCCAUAGAAACACAGGCUACCCAUGUGCUCCCUAUGCCACUGCAUGUGUGUUUCUGCGCCGCCCCCACCCCCAAGCAAAGAGAUUUGCUAGAUAUUUUGCAUGAAUAUUAGUUAGUUGCUGGUUGUUUUCCUUCCAUCCUGAUUCUAAAUGCAUUUGUGUGAAUUAGGUUGCUUCAGAGUCAGUAAUAGUUACUUCCUUAUGCUUAAGAUCACCCUCAUAAAAUGAAUGUGGUUCACUCUGCAGCGGGGUUGAUUCUUCAUUGAGAAAAGGAUACGGAUUUCUGACUUAUUCAACCGUAUUAGACAUUCCAUGGGCCAUAACUUAUUUUAAAUACUGAUAGAUUUGUAUUCAUUCCAGGGAAUUGUGCCAACAGAACUGCUGUCUUACAGUGCUUUAGGAUUAAUGAAAUAAUGUACAUGAAUUGUUUGAACACCAAAAAGCUUUACAAAGUAUUAUUAUUAUCAGGCCCAGAUUAACUGUCUCCUUGCUACUUCACAUAUACAGCAUUAAUAGGUACAUGGUGUAUAUCUGAAAACUUGUGAGAGGUAAACACUCCUUGGAGAGCAGGGGCCUACUGAGGUAUAUAUAGGGGUCAAUAAAAUAUAACAUUGCUUCUCACGCAUCAUAGGAUAUAAUUGGAAUGUUUUUGGUUUAAGAAAAAGAGAUGAUGAGGGAGGUUUAGAAAAUCAUACAUGGUGUGAAGAAGGUGGAUCAAUAGAGCUUUUUCUUCCUCUCACAAAGAAGUCAACCAGAAAGGGCAUGUGACAGGAGGGCAUUGGGACUUCCACAAAAGUUGUCAUGAUGGGGGUGCUCUUGGUGCUUCCACUUUCUAAUUAUGUGUGUAGAGAAUGUAUCAUUCGUACUGGCCUCAAAAUAGACUUAUUGGCAGUAGAUUAAGGAUAGACAAAAGGAAGUACCCUUUCACCCAACACAUACUGUAAUUAAUUUAUGGAAUUCACAGCUAUAGGAUAUGGCACUGAUUAUUUCAAAGGAAGUUAGACAACGUUCAUCAAUUUAACAUUAAAAAACCAAAAGAGUUGCAUGGGGAAAAUUCCACCAGGUGGAGCUUUUCUUGUCAUUGCAGAACUGUGAUGGAAAAAAAAAAGAAAAAAUGCACAUUUGGAAUGCUUUGCAAAGUUUAGGGCUCCUGGCAGAGGCUGACACUGGCAAUACUUUGUGCUGUCACUGGUGGCUCAAACAUCCAAGGAAGCAAUCAGUGGCUUGCUCAUAUUGAGUACUAUUGAGUACCCUGGCAAGGGGGUCUGUCCAGUCACACCUCAUAAUUAAUUAGUUAAAGUCUUUACCAUGCCCAUCCCAAAGGACUUGGCUGUAAUCUACACAAAAAUUACCACCAGCCUUGCUUAAAAAAUAUUGCAGGACUGUAAAAGAGCAGAUUCAAGUUAGGACAUAAAAUAAUUUUAUGCUCUGCAUAUCACACUUUGGGUUUGGUUUUGGUUUUGAAUAUGUUUUGCACUCUUGGCAGUUUAUGAGAUCUGGUACUUAAUCUUCUCUGUUCUAUUCUUCAAAAUUUCCUGACAUCACAACUACAUCAGCACAUCUCUGAUAAUGUGAUAUUUAUAACUCUGUCUCUAUAACAUUGUUCCAAGGGCAUCCUGGAUUUGAAGUCCGUCCUACCUACCGUAUAGAAAAUGUAUGGGGAUCUGUACUCUUGAUAAUAUUCAUUGUGUUGUUCUCUUAUGAUGCAGAUCAAGAUUUCUGGGGGCUGGUGCUUAGUCUAUCUUUCAGUCUGGUGCUGUGAUGAACCAAUUGUGAAGUGGAACAUGAGGGGGGCUUUAGUGUUAUGGAAACUGGAUGCAACACUAGUAUACAAAGAUGAUGGAUUUUAUGCAAAGUGCAUCAUUAAGAAAUCCUUGUAUGGUAGUAUUUGUAAUGCUACUGAUUGAGGUAGUAAUCCCAAACAAUAACCAAAAUUAAAGGAUUUCAAGUCAAUGGAGUGUCCCAGAUGACUGCCCUCUACCCCCUCCCUCCCUCCCUCCCUAUCAGUACAGUCGCAAUGGAGGCUAGAAUUUCAACUAAUUCUGCAAUCAUGGCAUAGCAUAGGCAGUCUAAAAUCUUCUGCCAGAGAACCUACACAUCAUAUUUCGAGGUGUGCAGCACAGGACUACAUUGUUCUAUUCUUCUGUCUAGAGAACCUUUUGGUGACAAGAUAUUUCUGCACAAAAAGGAGCAUUUUUUGCACAGCUUGCCAAAGGCUAACAAUGUAUUACUAAUACUCGGCUUCGCAGGCCCUCUUACAGGUACCCUGCUGCCUCAGAACUCCAGAUGCAAAACAACUAACAGGAAUCUCAACUCCUCUGCUACGAUUUGGAUGCAAGGAUAAGGCAUCCUACACAGGAUGAGAGCUAGGAUACAUGGAGCACAACAAACAGAAACUGCAUAGAGAAUUCCAAUGCAACUCUCUCCAUUGGAUGGACAUGCAAUGUGCAGUGGAAAGAAAAUUCCACCACCAGUUCCCUGCAAAUCAUUCACAAGCAAGAUCUACAGCAGCAGCAGCAGCGACAGUGACCAGCAGGAAGCUAGCCGUCCCUCUUAGGGAUUGCCACCUUUUUGUUUUAUCAGGGUGCCUGUGCAUGACUAACAGACAAUAAUGUAACAGGCACAGCAGUACCCUGCAUGGAAAUGCGGUGAUGGGGACAACUGCAGCUGUUGCUCCUUUGUCUGUCAUGCAGUUUCCUCAGGUACAGACCCUGACUACUCUACUCCUCCAUGUUGCUUUCAUCACUGAUGCUGUUGAAUAAAAGGUUUGGCUGUUUCAGUUGUGACUCUGUUCUAAUGAGAAUUAGCAGAGAACCAUCAUCACCCUGCUUAUUACUCACCUCAGGACUGUACGUACACAUUGGAGGGACCCUGGGGGCUGCACACAGACAGACACACACAGCAGCAGCAGAGAGUCAGUCUACCUGCCCUGCACAGUCUUGCUAGGAUAACUAGUGAGAGAAUAAACUUAAGCUGCUUCCUGCUUCUCCACUACUGCUGGCAUGAGAAACCAAGCAGCUAGUUGUCCGAAUAGGAGGUAAUGAGGUCGGAAAGGUAACUAAGCAAUCAGCCAAAGAACAUGGGAGGAGGCAUGGCUGGAUGGGAUGCCUAGGUAAAAUAAAGUGAAAUGCAUGGUGUGUGGCCCAGUUGAGGCCAUCUCUCACUCUGAUUGGCUCUAAUUGUACAGUGCCUCUGAUUUGCGCAAGUAUUGCUUUCCAGUCCUUCCCCCCAGGAGUCUCAAACUCAAAUUUGGGUAAGGAGUUCUCAGCCCCUGCCAUUUUUUUGGGGGGUGGGCAAGUGAAGGAGUCUAGUUUUUAACUUGUUUUGUUACCAGACAACCACCUCCAAUUUUGGAAACAGUUGGCUUUUGACCUAAGCAAGGCUAAUAGGUGCUUGAUACCAUUCAAACUGCUGUGUCAUGCAAAAUCUGAGCCAGUGCAAAACUAUCUAGGACAAAGAAAAGCAUCCAUCCUGAAUCCCUUGCAUAGUUAAGGUGACCAGGGGUCUUACACAAGCCAGGGGUCUUACACACACAAAACGGUUCUUGAGAGUUUGAACAGCCCCACCUUACUAUACAUUCAAGACAAUCAUCCAGGCAGCUAAUUAGAUUCAGCAUAAUACAUCCCUUUGUCUGGCUGUAAUGGUUGGCACACACCUCAUUUCCAUGCUGUACUGAAACAUCUCCCUUUGUGUUUCUGAGUUUUCCCACCUUUGCAACUUUGCAGAGGGCAAAAUCCUACAAAAAGGAUUUAUUUUUAAACCUCCAUGCUGAAGUUUUUGCUGUGGAAGAUGGGUGGCAUACUGUAUUGUCACCUGCAGUCCAGAAAACUGCCUGGCUGAGAGGACACCUGCCUGUGUCCUCAAACCCUUUCCCCAUAAAUGACUCACUGGACUGCUGAGUCCUUGAAUGAGCUUACUGUGGGGAGACCUGCACAAGAUUGCUCUGGAGAUUCCAGAAACGAAGAGUCCUUGGCUCACUCUCUGUGUGGACUUGCUACAGACAGGAGCUUGCCGGCGGCUGCGGAAUGGGCUGGACCAGUGGCCCCCUACCCCUGUGGAGAUGUGUGUGUGUGUGCUAGCAUGCGCAUGCCACAACCCCUGCACAUGAUAUCACCUGCUGGGGGCGUGGACACCAGUGGCAAGACGGGUGAGCUGCCUGCUGCACUUGGUGCUUGGUUCACGUGCCGUUGUGGCAAAUAUGUUCUUUUACUGCCUGACUGAUCUCAAUGGCACGUGAAUGAAACACCCAGUGCAGUGUGCCUGGUGCAGGGACAGACAACAGACUGGCAGCCCACCCGAAGGUAUGGAGGAAAGCAGGGCCAAGCCUCUGGUGGCCCCCAGAAGCAGCAGCAGGGGAACGCUCAUCCCCACAUGUUCAGUGGUGGCCACAUGCCUGCUACAGACUAAUCUCUGUACAUGGCUACCUGUCUGCUUCUUGGACUCCAGAGUGGAAUCCCUGAAUCCUCGAAUGGAACCACUGAGGCUGCCCUAUUCCUGUGCCAAUUUGUUGAGGACUAACCCAGUGCUCUUUUUCCUAUGCUGUGGGCAUGCAGCGUACCAUAGCCUUAGAACCUGUGCCAAACCAGCACCUUACUACUGUCAUUCCUUUUUCUGCAGCUGAGACUUGGGAGUCUGCUCAGUGAGAUUCACAGCUUUCAGCCUCACACACAAAACAGAUUAAGGUCAAGUAUGCUUUUGAUUUCCUCCUUAUUCUAUCUCUUUCUCUCCUGCCUUUCCCCCCUCAUUCCAAUGCCUGCCAACUACCAGGCUAUUAGAGCUUUCGCUCUUGCUCCCUCCCACUUCCUCUUAUAGCUUCCUGGGAGCUGCCUUCAUUCUUUGCACAACUGUGAAUGUACCAAGGCUGCCAACUGCUUCAUUUUACAUUGUGCCUCUGCUUUAUAUUAGAAAGUCUCCAAGAACACCACCUAGUUAAAUCUUGUUAUUUACACUUUAUGGGUGGGAAUGAAUGGACUAAACCAGGGUUUCUUAACUUGGCCCCCCAGAUAUUGUUGGACUACAACUCCCAUCAUCCUCAGCCACAAAGGCCAUGUCUGGGGAUGUUGGGAGCUGUAGUCUAACAACAUCUGGGGGCCCAAGGUUAAGAAACCCUGAACUAAACUUUUGUCUCACAUCCUACCGUUGUACUCCUUGUUGGGGGAUUUAGUUCCUGGAGCAGAGAAAAGAUUAGAAAUCAGCUCCUCUAAUGGGAUGCCAGUAGAGACGCCAUUGCGGUACAGUCAACAAAGUUCUCAUUUUGGUACCACAUAGAAGUCUCUCUCAAUAUCUGAUUAAUAUUACCAGUGCUCCAUUGAGGAAGGCUUUUUGCAUGUUUUCAUUUUCAGACUAUGUCUUCAGCAUAUUUUGAAGGUGAUUUUUGCAAACUCCCAGUGGAACAGCGCCUUUGUCCUUGCGGCACUGGUCAAGUGGAGGACAUCAUCCACUAUGUCCUCUAUUGCCCUAUUUAUGAUGAGAUUGGGGGGGAAACACUGAAGAUAGAUAAACUUAAGGGGACAGAUGUAAAACGUUUUGACUUAUCUUCUUACAGAUGUAAUUCCACAUGUCAGCUGUCAAGUUGCUACUUUAGGUAUGCUUUCUUUUAAACUCAGAAAGAAACGUAUAUUCUAAAAUGUAGCAUUGGUUUUAGCUCAACUUAACUCAUGUGACUUCUUGGUAUGUUGCAUUUCUUCUGUUAUGUUGUGUUGUGGUAUGUUAUGACGUGGGGUCACAACAAUAAACUUAUUACUUACCUAUAUAAAUUACACUUUAUUUCUUUGUUUUCAA